UACGUAGGGGGCAAGCGUUGUCCGGAAUCAUUGGGCGUAAAGCGCGCGUAGGCGGCCCGGUAAGUCCGCUGUAAAAGUCAAAGGCUCAACCUUUGAAUGCCGGUGGAUACUGUCGGGCUAGAGUCCGGAAGAGGCGAGUGGAAUUCCUGGUGUAGCGGUGGAAUGCGCAGAUAUCAGGAGGAACACCGGUGGCGAAGGCGGAUCUCUGGGCCAUUACUGACGCUGAGGAGCGAAAGCGUGGGGAGCGAACAGG
rnacentral:rRNA from 1 species